rnacentral:rRNA from 1 species
GAUGAACGCUGGCGGCGUGCCUAAUACAUGCAAGUCGAGCGAACAGACGAGGAGCUUGCUCCUCUGACGUUAGCGGCGGACGGGUGAGUAACACGUGGAUAACCUACCUAUAAGACUGGGAUAACUUCGGGAAACCGGAGCUAAUACCGGAUAAUAUAUUGAACCGCAUGGUUCAAUAGUGAAAUACGGUUUUGCUGUCACUUAUAGAUGGAUCCGCGCCGCAUUAGCUAGUUGGUAAGGUAACGGCUUACCAAGGCAACGAUGCGUAGCCGACCUGAGAGGGUGAUCGGCCACCCUGGAACUGAGACACGGUCCAGACUCCUACGGGAGGCAGCAGUAGGGAAUCUUCCGCAAUGGGCGAAAGCUUGACGGAGCAACGCCGAGUGAGUGAUGAAGGUCUUCGGAUCGUAAAAAUCUGUUAUUAGGGAAGAACAAAUGUGUAAGUAACUAUGCACGUCUUGACGGUACCUAAUCAGAAAGCCACGGCUAACUACGUG